rnacentral:rRNA from 1 species
AUGAAACACUCCUACGGGAGGCAGCAGUAGGGAAUAUUGGGCAAUGGACGAGAGUCUGACCCAGCCAUGCCGCGUGCAGGAAGAAGGCGUUCUGCGUUGUAAACUGCUUUUAUCUGGGAAGAAAAGGCCCAUGCGUGGGACAUUGCCGGUACCAGAUGAAUAAGCACCGGCUAACUCCGUGCCAGCAGCCGCGGUAAUACGGAGGGUGCAAGCGUUGUCCGGAUUUAUUGGGUUUAAAGGGUGCGUAGGCGGCUAUUUAAGUCAGCGGUGAAAGACUCCGGCUCAACCGGAGCAGUGCCAUUGAUACUGGAUAGCUUGAGUGUUGGAGGGGUACAUGGAAUUGAUGGUGUAGCGGUGAAAUGCAUAGAUACCAUCAGGAACACCGAUAGCGAAGGCAUUGUACUGGCCAACAACUGACGCUGAGGCACGAAAGCAUGGGGAGCGAACAGGAUUAGAAACCCGUGUAGUCCGAAGUUC